ACUUAUUUGAGUGUUGAUAUUGUCUAGAAGAUAAUAUUUGUAUUUAAACUCAUAGUAUGUGUUGUCGUAUUUUGCACGACAAUUGUAUUAUUGAAGUUGUAGUUUACUUUCUGUACUAUGUAUUUGGCGACUUAGAAUGGGUGUUGUAUACCUAUUUUGGGGGCGUCAUAUUGCAGGUCAAGUCUGCUUUGACGUUCUAACAUUUUCCUAUAAAUAGAGUGCUGAGUUAGAAUUGAAAAUCACACCAGAAACAUAAGUUUUUUCUCUCUAUAUUAUCGAGUGUAUUUUUGUGAGUAUUUUGAUACUUUAAGAGUUGCUAAUCAGUGCAAGUUUCCUUCAGCGUCAUAUCCGAUAUUCCAGUCAGAAGUACUGCUCUUUUGAGGUAAGGGAUUGUAAGGGAUGGUAUUUUCGUUGUAAAUGAUAUUAUUUUCUUUAAUACCAUUAUGCCAAAAUAUUGAUAUGAGUUUGAUUGUGAAAUUUCUACCUUUUUGUGUCAGGGUUACUAUUCACGUAUACGUCAUUAUUCACGUAUAUGGCACUAUUCAUGUAUAUGGCACUAUUUACGUAUAUGACAUUAUUUACAUAUACGGUACUAUGUACGAAU
rnacentral:lncRNA from 1 species